rnacentral:rRNA from 1 species
CUAUGCGCCUUGCCAGCCCGCUCAGGUGUGCCAGCCGCCGCGGUAAUACGUAGGGGCAAGCGUUAUCCGGAAUGAUUGGGCGUAAAGGGUGCGCAGGCGGUCCUGCAAGUCUGGAGUGAAACGCAUGAGCUCAACUCAUGCAUGGCUUUGGAAACUGGAGGACUGGAGAGCAGGAGAGGGCGGUGGAACUCCAUGUGUAGCGGUAAAAUGCGUAGAUAUAUGGAAGAACACCAGUGGCGAAGGCGGCCGCCUGGCCUGUUGCUGACGCUGAGGCACGAAAGCGUGGGGAGCAAAUAGG